UUAUUCCUAUUCUGAACACUGGAAUACUUUUCUCAGGGCUUAUAAAGAUUCUUGGGAUGAACAGGGAUUUGGUGUUUUCCCUUCUUCAUCUUUUCACUGAUAUUCUUAGUCUUCACUUCUUCCAUCUAGUGCGUAACACUGGUUCCUGGUUGCAGAUAGGGUCAAGCCUUAGUCACUUUAUAAUUGUUGAGGGAACCAGCGUUUUCUUGUUAGUUCUUCUUCGUCUCUCUGAUAACAUACUGAGCCUAGGCACCAGAACCAAGUUCA
rnacentral:lncRNA from 1 species